UUAAUCCUUGUUACAUGAGCUCUAAUAAUGUAGCACAACCAAGAUGGAUGAGAUUUAGUUGUUGAAAAUGUUGUUCAAAGAGUAUGUCUCAAGCCUCCACAAGUCUGAGCUAAAAUCAUGCAGAGACUUUUUCCUUGCAGACCAGCAUCUUGACAUUAAAUUAUUAGUCCUGACGAAGGAUCUCGGCCCGAAAUGUCGACAGUGCUUCUCCUUAUAGAUGAUGCCUGGCCUGCUGUGUUC